CCUACGGGUGGCUGCAGUGAGGAAUCUUGCGCAAUGGGGGCAACCCUGACGCAGCAACGCCGCGUGAGUGAGGAAGGUCUUCGGAUCGUAAAGCUCUGUCGGAUGGAAAGAACCGCAUAGGGGCAAACAGCCCCUGUGUCUGACGGUACCGUCAAAGGAAGCACCGGCUAACUCCGUGCCAGCAGCCGCGGUAAUACGGGGGGUGCAAGCGUUGUUCGGAAUUAUGGGGCGUACAGAGCGUGUAGGCGGCGAAAGCCCUGGGCUUAACCCAGGAAGUGCAUUUGAAACUGUCCGGCUCGAGUAGGGGAGAGGGAAGUGGAAUUCCUGGUGUAGAGGUGAAAUUCGUAGAUAUCAGGAGGAACACCGGUGGCGAAGGCGACUUCCUGGCCCUAUACUGACGCUGAGACGCGAGAGCGUGGGUAGCAAACAGGAUUAGAUACCCGUGUAGUC
rnacentral:rRNA from 1 species